rnacentral:rRNA from 1 species
CAGUCGCCGCGGUAAUACAGAGGGUGCGAGCGUUAAUCGGAUUUACUGGGCGUAAAGCGUGCGUAGGCGGCUUCUUAAGUCGGAUGUGAAAUCCCUGAGCUUAACUUAGGAAUUGCAUUCGAUACUGGGAAGCUAGAGUAUGGGAGAGGAUGGUAGAAUUCCAGGUGUAGCGGUGAAAUGCGUAGAGAUCUGGAGGAAUACCGAUGGCGAAGGCAGCCAUCUGGCCUGAUACUGACGCUGAGGUACGAAAGCAUGGGGAGCAAACAGGAUUAGAGACCCGUGUAGUCCCUGUCUCUUAUAC